rnacentral:rRNA from 1 species
ACAUGUGAAUAUACCUGCUUGAAGGUGUCUGACCUCACAUCAUCUCAGAAGCUAAGCAAGGUCAGGCUUAGAUAACAUGUGGAUAAGAGACUGCCUGGGAAUAUUUGAUACUUCCCCUGAG